CCGGCCCCUAGCCACAGUCAAAAAUUUGGUGUUACACGCCGCUUUCACAAGUACGUUUAGCCAGUAAAUUCACAACGUAGCUAACUGAAAUUCCCAAUUUCAUUAAAUUUCCGAUUCAUUAAUAUUUGCUACUGUAAGUUGCCAACAUUGUAAAACAGUAAAAUAUUUAAUAAAUAACAGCGUCUGUACAUUUAUAUACAACUCAGGAGUCAGGACUGUAGUCAAGUCUAUGCCUUGGACAAAAAAAAAUGCGAUUCUGUAUCAUUUUACUUUCAAAAUGAUGCCUACUGAUAUUGUGGUGGCAAAGACAUUCUUAUUUUGUGGAGGGAUAACUAAUGAUGCCUUGCCUGAUUUGUCGAUACAUCAAACCUCUGAAGCUCCCUGACUUUCUUGCAUCACCAAGACCUCUCUAUUUUCAUACGUCCAGAAACCAUUCAAGUCAAUCAAAAUACUCGCUACUGUCUCUCCUUGACCACU